GUUUAAGGUUUGCAAAAGUCCUGACUCAGGUGCUGUUGAAUUCAGCAAUGGCUGAAGCGAUCAAAUCAAACUGUCAGUGCCAGGAAGACCAUGGGGACCUGCAGGAUUCAGUUGGCAGAGAGGGCAGCUGACUUGGAUGAAUCAUGGCAUUCCCAGGGGUCAUAAAGGCAUUAGCCUGCUUCUGUGAAAGCCAUGCUGUGGGCAGGUAAG
rnacentral:lncRNA from 1 species